CAUUCCGAACCCGGAAGCUAAGGCCCACAGCGCCGAUGGUACUGCAGCCGGGAGGUUGUGGGAGAGUAGGUCGCCGCCGGAC
rnacentral:rRNA from 1 species